GAUCCUCAGAAAGCCAUAUGAGGGUUUUCCUCAGAACCUAAAUCCUCAUAGCAACAGCAGGGUAGCUGAACAUCUUACGGAUGGCCCAGGGCUCCAAAGGCUUGUUUCCUAAGUGAGAGAGAGCCCGGCUGAAGCUCUAUUACCAUUCAUUCUCUAGCCUCCGAAGUCUCAAAGCAUCACUUCCACCAUACUCUAAUUGUCAAGACAAACACAAAGUCCUAGAAACUGCCAGACUGUCUUCCGAAGUGGCUAUAAUAUUUACACUCCCAUCAGCAGUGUAGAUGGGGGUCUCACUACGUUGUCUGGAGUGCAGUGGCUAGAGUGGAGUGGCUAUUCACAGCUGAGUUUGCAGAGUAAACCACUACCCUGAAAUCUGGAGAGGCAGGUGCACCCAUAGAGUCUCAGCUGAGAUCCAAUUACCUGAAAUAGAAGCUGCCAUUAGGAACACUUAAAUG
rnacentral:lncRNA from 1 species